UGAAACUUCUGGCUUGCCAUCUAAACAUAUGAGAACGUGAGAAAAUUGUUAGAAGUGUUCUGAGAGAAAAGGGUCACUCUAAAGAGAAGACAACAAAGACUUCGGGGUCUCUCACCUUUUUGCAGAGAAAAUGGAGAUGAGAGAAGAAUCCAUAAAGGUUGAAAACAAGGACUGGAUGUCUCUCUCUGGCUCCCACCGAGCUCAUACCUGCAGUUCAGAGGAGCAACCUCGCAGCUGGCAGGUGCAGCCCUUCUUGAGGCCUCUGCACACCUCCUUUCCCUCUUGUCUGGACUGACUCAAGAUGCCUUGAUAGAAUAUCCAUCUAGUAGUAUCUUCUGCAUUCAGAACUCAAUGACACCAACACAUCUUAUCAAGGAAAAUAAUCCAGCUUCUCCAAACCACUCCUGAUCCUGAAUCUGAAAGCCAUCAUGCUAAUAAAGAAGAAAGAUAAAACUUUGGAGGAAUCA
rnacentral:lncRNA from 1 species